UCAGCCACUGUCUGGGAUCUACGGCCAUUUUAAUCCACUUGUCACUCAUCAUUAACCUUUGCAGCUUUAAAUUCAUGACCCUCCGUUCACUUUUUACCGUGUUCUUGUUCAGAGAUGGUAUAAAAGAGGUUUGUCUGAAGCAUUAAGCUACGAGAAAUGAACCUGUUAUUUGGUCCCUAAUCAUUCAAAUUAACUUGUUCUCUGUUAUUUGUAUCCCUAGAUCCACAGCUUGUUACAUCACAUAACCUGGAUCAAAUUUACAAGAGUCUACAGUACACCAAAUAAAAAUAAAAUAAAGACAUUUCAAAUUCACUUGUAAAUUCCACAAAUCAAUCAGCAAGUAAAACAUUAAAUUAAACAUGGGAUUUUGAAGAAGAAUGACUGAAACAGUAUUUUCUUAUAAAAUGUGCUCCAUUAAUCUUUGUUAAAUUUACUUUACUCUCUCUCUCUCUCUCUCUCUCUCUCUCUCUCGCUCUCUGUGUAUUGAUAAAUACUUAGUCUAUAACCAACUGUAAAUCAAUGUGAACAAUAUUGAAUAAAAUCCCUCCGGGACAGACUCGUGAAGGCAUUCGUUUACAGCCUUGCAAUGUUGCUAAGUAAACAAAACCAGUUGAGUCUUCUCUUUUUCUCUCUUUUUUUUUCACCCCUCCUCAGCUGCCAAAGACAUGCACAGAGAGUCUGUGGAGGAGAAAAACACACACACACACUGAGGGCAGGGUCAGUAUAAUGAGUGUUUGUUGGAACUGAAAGGAACUAUUGGAAACGGUGAGUGUCUAGUCAUGGUGCGGAUGCGACCGAGAAAAUACCAGCACAAGAGCAUAUUUUAAAAGUAUUCAAUAUUUAUAUAUAAGGACCCAAUUAUUUAACUCUUUCAUAUCCGAGUUUUAAGGAAAGUUCUAACGUGAAAGAAAAAACAAACAGUUCUUUGUCUUUUUACCCCGUGACAGAGUUCCGGAGGGAACAUAGGCUUCACGUUUCGGAGCUCGUCUUCAGAGAGAGAGAGAGGGGUGGAAAACAAGUAAACUCUCCUUUAAUGGGCAUCUGAUGAUGUCAUAUCACUGGCUGGAUCCGUCUGUCUCUGAGUGAGGCAGAAGCUCUGGAGUAAUUGGUUGGCGGUGACCAGCUGCCCAGCUUUGUCUGGCCUCACUCCUUAGGGACAGCUGAGGCCAUCAAUCUGUUCCCAAAAACCCUGCACUUCACCCUGACUCCUAUGGUAAGCAUUGAGGGCCAUUAUUGUUCUCGAUGUGGGGCGUCCUAUGCGGUAAAGUCUCUGGCACACUUUUAAAGACAUAGUGGGUAAUAUAUGCAGGCCUGAGCCAGUGGCCCUGGCAAAACCAUUCCCCUCCCCCUCCCGAGGCUUCUUUUCUUGGAAGAGCAGACAAACAUUUGUUUUUUCAACUAAAGACCACAGUGACACAGCAAGAGUCAGCCAAUAUCUUCAACACUAACAGAUAUUCGUGGUUUUGCUGGCAGGAGUUUAGUAGAGAAGUGACAAAGUACCAAAAGGCUGACUAUCUAGAUAUGCUUGAACGGUGUCUAAAAGCAUGUAGGCGACAGCCAAGUUAAUCAGGAAGAGACGAUCUACAGGACAUUCCAGCUUUGUUGUCUCAACACGUGCACUAGGUAAACCAACACUGAUGAAUCAUGCCAAAAAUCAGAAGUAAACACCUAUUAGCAACAUGAACACAGAAGCAAUCAGCAACAUUAACUAUAAAGGUGCUCAAGAGUAGUGAUUUGUACAGCUUAGUCAAACAGUUUAGUUUGUGUAUUGCAACAACAGCAUGCCAUGUGAUUCUCAGCAUGCCAUCAGACCUGCCUAUUUGUUUUGGGCUGGAGAAUAAUAAUGUGCUUUACAGGACCCCGAGGACCGAAGCCCUUUAAAAUGAGGUCUGUGAUCCUGUGUUCGAUUAAUACACUCAGUACACAAAAACUAGCUGUCUCCACCCAAACAUUUUACACCUGUGUUGAUAAUGGCAGCACUCCCUUUUCUCUAGAAAUUGAAAGUUUGCUCCUCCUAAACACGUCUGGGCUGUACACCAUACUGAUAAAUACUGCAUUAGUGGAGUUCUGUGUCAUGCAGGCGUGCGUGGUUAAUGAUGACACAGCUGUGACACUUCGGAGAUGGUUUAGAUAGGAGGGGACGUGAUGUUCAGUCAUACCUGAAAUGACUGUGAUUCACCCUGAGCUUGCCUUCGGCCCCACUCUAACCUUUUUAAUAAACGUUUACAAAUGUAAUCAAAUUACUUAUUCAUUAUAUGUUUGAAAGUUUGCGUCUAUGUAGCACGUCUGCCACAACCUGACCAAUGAAUAAGGCAAUAGUUUUACAAGUUUUACUACUGAAUGAUGCAAACGUGUAACAGGAUUUACUACUAAAUGAUGCAAAGGAUUUAUGACUCAUUAAUUCAGUGGAGGCUGACUCAGGAAAUUAUGAAUAACAACCACACAGACAACAUCAAACUCCAUAUAUUUAAUUUAUUAAGUCAGUCACAAUAUCAUGUGAGAAAAGUAAAAGAAAAACCCUAAGAGUAUCUAGGGUGACCAUGAUUUCACUAAGGUAACAACAUUCCAAUUAACCAAUCAGAAUCGAGGGAUAUCUUUUCAGGAAAUAUCUGCUUUAGGCUUACGAUCAGGGUUAAGUGCUUCUACACCCUUUGAUAAUAAACUAUCAUUUCACACUGAUUUUAGGAAUAAAUUAUGGGUAGGGUUAGG